UAAGUCCUCGAUUACGAGGGCGAUGAAAAGGGAAACGGGUGAGAUUCCCGUGCAGUACCCGCUGCUGUGAGUUCCCGACGCUUCGCUUCACAACGAUUUUGCCACUGGCAUCCAUAGUUGAUUUCAACCCCUAUUGCAAGUCGACUACAUCAUGGCCGGGAAGGCGUGAAGCGAGGGGGACGAGCCAGAAGACCUGCCUCUUGUGU
rnacentral:ncRNA from 1 species